UGUCUCAUAGUGAAGACGAGGUCAUACCCUCCAACUUUUUCCAACCUCUCCAACCUAACAUCAUAAAAUGAGUAACAACUUACAGUUGGGUAGUACUUACAGCUGGUUUACCCUCUUGGUACUCACAGCAGUAGUAUUUGAGAGUUUUAUGACAGCCUUGGUUACUUACGAUGGUCUUGCUGCGUGUUGGCCUGUGGCCAGUGCCUGGUGUACAUUCACAGGCAUUAUUUCCUAUAACACAACAAACCACUGAGGUAAGUACCAUUAUGAUCCCCAUUUUACAAAUAAGAAAGUUGAGCCUUAGACAAGUUAUGUAACUUCCUCAGGAUCACAAAGCUUGUAGGUGGGCAGGUUCCAGGCCAACACUCUGAAUACCACACUGAACUGUUCUGUUUGCCAAAGGAUGGUAACUUGAAACCAACUUUCCUACAACCUCCCUCUAGGACUUUGCAGUUCCAGCUUUCCCUUUCUGACUCACCCACCAUAACCCUCUGAGUGUCUCCUCUUAACCAUGUUACCCUCCUCUACAAAGUCCUGCCAGACUGUCAGAUGUCCUGUUUGGGAUAUUUGGAAGGGAGUAUUUUAUAACACAGAAAAUUCCCUGAGAAGAAAUGAAAACAUCCCAUCUUCCAUCCAGAUAGACAGGGAUCCUAAAGAACAAGUACAUGUGUUCUGGCCUCCCCACUCCAAGAACAAAACCUCAGCAUGGAUACACAGUGAAUGCUCUUCUUUACUACUUCCAGUUGACUCGUCACACAGACGCUUUGUCAUGAGCAAUCAGUAAGUUAUCUAAGGUGUGGACCUUGUGCCCUUGUACCUGAGUCCCUGAGUUCAGUUCCCCGUCCAUUCUUCAUCAGUUCUAGACACAGGGAUAUCUAUAUUUUGCUCAAGGAAGAGUGGAUUAUUGACUUUACUCACUCCUUUUGUUCUAAUGUUUAACCUCCCACAGUUUUGUGGUUGGAAAGUUUCCUGAUAUAAUAAUAUUUAAAGCUCUCCUGUACAAAUAUUUUCUAGAAAGGCCUGUUUGGAGAUGUUUUGGUAAGAUUCAGGUGAGUUGUCAGUUUGAUGGCAUUUUAAUAUCAAUAAGAACUUUUAAAAAUGCCACGACCCCAGCUCAUCACUCUUAGUGCAGGGACUUUGCUCUCUGCACUCUGUUCCUUGACUCUCCCAGUACCCACCUUCUAAAGACAAGUGGGUUAGUAGACUACAGACUGUCGCUGCUCUGAGACAAAUAGCACCCACAGCACAGCAAAGCAAAGCAACAAUUCCCAGUGACCUCUUGGCACACUAAUUGUGGCUUUGACGCUCAUGGUCACAACACUGACCUUCCUGGGAAGGACCCAAGCUCAUUCUCCCCACAAGUGAGUGUGGCAUUCCACUGGCAUUUAAUGAAUGGAUGGAUAAAGGUAUGAAUGGAUUACAGCAUGUAUAAUAGACGUUGAAGGAGGUUUACAAUAAAACAGUUUAAAACUACUUUUACUAAAAUUAUCUUUAUUAGCAUCUGGAAGCCCACCAACCCUACCUUGGCCCCUGAAUAGAGAGAGUGGUUGAAGAAACUAUUCCUGUAAGAUUUUCCAAACCAUCCAUACCAGGUACAAAAAUCAAAACGCUGAAAAUAAAUGUUUAAACCAAAAAAUAAUUAAAAUGUCACAUCUCCACACAUUAUCCUGGCCACCCGGCCCUUCCUGUCAGCACCACACAUUCAGUGAAAUGAUGUCACAUGGCAUAAAUCCAUAAAGCCUGCCUAACCCAAGUGUAAGCUUCUUAAAGAUAAGAGAGAUUGUAUUGGCAUCUUCAGUCUUUGGCCCGGUGUGCAAUGUGCCAAACACUCAAGGUAAACUUGCCUGUGAGUUUCUCUUCUUUCUUUUUUUAAAAAAAAUUUUUAAGGGACGCCUGGGUGGCUCAGCGGUUGAGCAUUCGCCUUCAACCCAGGGCAUGAUCCUGGAGUUCCGGGAUCGAGUCCUGCAUCGGGCUCCCCACACAAAGAGGAGUUUCUCCCUCUGCCUAUGUCUCUGCCUCUCUCUGUGUCUUUCAUGAGUAAAUAAAUAAAAUCUUAAAAAAUAAAUAAAAUAAAAAAUUUUUAGAAUUUUAUUUAAAUUCAACUAACAUAUAGUGUAUCAUUGGUUUCAGAGGUAGAGGUCAGUGAUUCAUCAGUUGCAUAUAACAUUCAGUGCUCAUUCCAUCACUUGCGCUCCUUAAUGUCCAUCACUGGUUACCCC
rnacentral:lncRNA from 1 species